rnacentral:rRNA from 1 species
GACGAACGCUGGCGGCGUGCUUAACACAUGCAAGUCGAACGGAAAGGCCCUGCUUUUGUGGGGUGCUCGAGUGGCGAACGGGUGAGUAACACGUGAGUAACCUGCCCUUGACUUUGGGAUAACUUCGGAAACUGGGGCUAAUACCGGAUAGGAGCUCCUGCUGCAUGGUGGGGGUUGGAAAGUUUCGGCGGUUGGGGAUGGACUCGCGGCUUAUCAGCUUGUUGGUGGGGUAGUGGCUUACCAAGGCUUUGACGGGUAGCCGGCCUGAGAGGGUGACCGGCCACAUUGGGACUGAGAUACGGCCCAGACUCCUACGGGAGGCAGCAGUGGGGAAUAUUGCACAAUGGGCGGAAGCCUGAUGCAGCAACGCCGCGUGCGGGAUGACGGCCUUCGGGUUGUAAACCGCUUUCGCCUGCGACGAAGCGUGAGUGACGGUAAUGGGUAAAGAAGCACCGGCUAACUACGUG